rnacentral:lncRNA from 1 species
AAACAAACCCCACGCUUUGUCGACAAGAAAACAAACUCUUUCAACUUCAUUUCUCUCUCUCUCUCACUACACAGCUUUAAUUGAACCCCAAUUCCUCUCUCUCUCUAUAUAUCUUCACCAAACAAAUUUACACAGAAACUACAAUCUUGAACUUGUUCUUGCCAAAAUUUCUUUGUAAAAGUUAGAGCUUUUUGGUGAAUUCUUGGUGUACUUUUUCUGGGUUUUCGAUGAACUAAAUAACCCAGAAAGGGAUUUCUGAUUCUUUAGCUUGUUGGUGAGUUAUUGCCAAAUUUGUCUUUUUUGGGACUCUUGCUCUGUUUUCUGCCUGAUGAAUUGGCCAUUUCUUGCAAAAUCUGUCCCUUUUUGCAAAUUUUAGCUCUGUUUUUGCUCUGUUUUCCGCCUGGUGAAUUGGCCAUUUCUUGCAAAGCUUGUCCUUUUUUGCAAAUUUUAGCUCUGUUUUACUCUGUUUUCUGCCUGGUGAAUUGGUCAUUUCUUGCAAAGUUUCUCCUUUUUUGGAAAUUUUAGCUUUGUUUUUACUCUGUUUUCUGCUUGGUGAAUUGGUCAUUUCUUGCAAAGUUUGUCUUUUUUGGAAUUUUUAGCUCUUUUUAACUCUAUUUUCUGUCUUGUAAAUGGGGCCUGGAUUUUGUUAGUCCAAUUAAAAUACGCAUUUCUCUUUUGUUCUUUCAUUCUGAUUUAUUAAUCCUUUUUUUCAAG